ACCAGGCAUGGUGGUGCAUGCCUGUGGUCCUAGCUACUUGGGAGGCUGAGGCAGGAGAAUCGCUUAAGCCCAGGAGUUCUGGGCCAUAGUGCCCUACGCCAAUUGGAUGUCCACACUAAGUUCAGCAUCAAUAUGAUAACCUCCUGGGAGUGAGGGACCACUGGUUGCCUAAGGAGGGGUGAACUGGCCCAGGUCAGAAAUGGAGCAAAUCAAAACUCGCAUUCUGAUCAGUAGUAGGAUCACACCUGUGAAUAGCUGCUGCACUCUAGUCUGGGCAACAUAGUAAGACUCUGUCUUGA
ensembl:misc_RNA Metazoa_SRP Metazoan signal recognition particle RNA